CCUACGGGUUGCAGCAGUGGGGAAUAUUGCACAAUGGGCGCAAGCCUGAUGCAGCCAUGCCGCGUGUAUGAAGAAGGCCUUCGGGUUGUAAAGUACUUUCAGCGGGGAGGAAGGCAUUAAGGUUAAUAACCUUGGUGAUUGACGUUACUCGCAGAAGAAGCACCGGCUAACUCCGUGCCAGCAGCCGCGGUAAUACGGAGGGUGCAAGCGUUAAUCGGAAUUACUGGGCGUAAAGCGCACGCAGGCGGUCUGUCAAGUCGGAUGUGAAAUCCCCGGGCUCAACCUGGGAACUGCAUUCAAAACUGGCAGGCUAGAGUCUCGUAGAGGGGGGUAGAAUUCCAGGUGUAGCGGUGAAAUGCGUAGAGAUCUGGAGGAAUACCGGUGGCGAAGGCGGACCCCUGGACAAAGACUGACGCUCAGGUGCGAAAGCGUGGGGAGCAAACAGGAUUAGAUACCCCAGUAGUC
rnacentral:rRNA from 1 species